CAUUGAACUUAAGAUUCAAAUAUAAAGUGCAUUUUUAAACUUUUAUUAAAAUUUC
rnacentral:tRNA from 1 species